CAUGGCUUGAACCUGGCAUACAAUGUAGAUUUCUGUGUUGUUCAAGCUACAGCUACAUUGUCUGCUGGGUUUCAGGCUGGUCAG
rfam:Scleropages formosus scaffold1071, whole genome shotgun sequence.